CAAUAGCGUAUAUUAAAGUUGUUGCAGUUAAAAAGCUCGUAGUUGGAUUUCUGGGAGGGUGCCGCCGUCCGGCGUGUCCGUGUGCAGUGGCGCCCUUCCAUCCUUCUGUUAGCGUCUCUUGGCAUUCAUUUGCUGGUGGCGGGCUCAGAUAUUUUACCUUGAGAAAAUUAGAGUGUUUCAGGCAGGCUAGGCCGGAAUACAUUAGCAUGGAAUAAUGGAAUAGGACUACGGUCUCUUUGUUGGUUUGAGGGACUGCAGUAAUGAUUAAUAGGGAUAGUUGGGGGCAUUAGUAUUUAAUUGUCAGAGGUGGAAUUCUCAGAUUUGUUAAAGACUAACUUAUGCGAAAGCAUUUGCCAAGGAUGUUUUCAUUAA
rnacentral:rRNA from 1 species